ensembl:lncRNA
AUGAGAACUUUUUUGUAUUUUUUGUGGAUUGUCAUGUCUCCGUCCCUAUUUGCAGAAUCCUCUACUCAGGAGGCGAGCAAAGAAGUUAAUCAAACAAUUCAUCUUCUGCGUGAACUGGGCCAUAAAGUAUGUCCAGAUGAUGUAGCAAAAGCGAUGUCUGAUCGGUUCACGAGUCUUCCCAUAAAGAAACAAGAAUUAUCUCAGGCACUGAAGAUAGCAUAUAACUCUACAUUUGAGCUCUUCAAGAAUUACAGAACCCACUGCCAUUGGACAAACAAUGCAUUCCAAGAUCUAAUAGAACACCUCAACCGACAGGCCAAAUCACAUUUCGUCCCGGUGAUGAGCUCUGCACUUGAGAGGUUGGUGGAGAACUUCAAGGAGCUCGAUCAGUUUCUCACACAGCAGAAUUUUAGCUGCUGCGCGUGGGAAAAUGUGCGCCAGGACAUUCUGCGCGUCAUGGACCACUUCAAAAAAAUGACAAGACCUAGAAGAAAACAUGUUUAAUACAAUGCAUGCUGUAAAUUAAUAUUGUCAAUUAUUUAUUAAAACGCUAAUUUUAUAGUAUUUUGCAAUUUUCAUUUUGCAUUGAUUCAUUUUACCACAUCAACUUCAAUGAAUUUCCAAAUGGAUGAAUGUUAAUAUUCCGCUUUAUUACCGGUUCUGGGCUUAUGCUAUUUAUAAACACAUUUAUUAGAGAAUAACUCAUUUAGACUACACUAAAAUGUUUACAAUAUGCGAAAUUGUAUUGUCCUGUAUUAUACAAAACACUGUUACCCGGGAAUGUGCUAUUAUUAAUAUGAAGGAGUGUUUCGUUUACAUGUUGAUUGUAAUGGAUGUCUCAAUGUCUUUCUAAAAAAAAAAUGUGUAGACACGUUUGAAUUUGUCACUUGACCAAUGUUGACCAAAAAAUAAAAUAUUUAAAUAUUUAAAAUAUUUUUUCA